GGGGCUUGUUCUAUACACCAAAACUGCUUCAUUAAGCUAAAGUUGUUCAGCUGACUAUAGUGUCCCUUUAAUAUCCCUGGGGGGGUUUGAGAGGAACGGUUUUAUGCCUUUUUUCCUCUCUAAUACCCCAAGGUAAUUUCUUUUCUUUAUAUUAUUUGGGUACAUUCCCGUCUAUACCCAUAUAGUCCUAUCCUCGGACUUUUGGGAUUCCGUUUGCUCUGAUCCCAUUAGUUCGUUCUUUUUCUUUUCAUGAAUUGAACCAAUGAAUCUCUAUAAGGAAAGUUCAGUGUCUGCAUGCAGAGGGAGGAGAUACUGAAUGUUUGGAUGCAUUUUAGGCAGCCAUGACCCAGGAAGGAUCUCUAACAGCCAUCUGAGGAGUGGCCAGUGAAGUUAUCACUAGGCUAUAAUGUUUCUCUGAAAAGACAGUGUGUCAUGCCAAAAGCAUGAGUUGGUGUUUGAUGUGUGUUUAUAUAUGUUAAGAGUUGUUUUUUUGUAAACCUUGGGAUGACGUUUAUUGUGGUCUUUGAUCUUGCACCAGGCCUAGACCAUAAAACAUCUAGAUAGCCAUCACCAGAGCUGGACACAAGGAAUUUCAUAGAGUGGGCAAUAGACUGCCAGACCAGCCCCCUCUGAUCCACCCCCCAGGGGUCUGCCCACUGAGAAACAACUAGUUUAGAUAUAUGAGGGUGUUGGACUAUCCAGGGAGGUCAGUUAUUCAUUUUCUUUUUGUCAGUAACUUCUAGGAGACCUAUACCAUCUAAGACUCCCACAAGAAUUCUAUAUGGGGUAAAUAUAUGUAAGGAAUUUCUUGUGUUUUCUCCUAUUUUAUUUUAUGUACUGUGUUGCAAUUUGUUAUCUGUAUGUCAUUUAUUUCUGUAUUUUGUACUCAGCACUGUGAAUCCUUUUUGUCAGAUUAAAUGUUUACUUAAUCAGCUUGUGUCUCUG